rnacentral:lncRNA from 1 species
AAUUAAUGUAAAAUUGUAAUGCAUGUAUUAAUAUAGUUGAAUUGAUUUGAUAAAUUAACUUAUGAUCAGUUUUUUCUUCCAGGGUUGAAUCUUGGUUUGACAUCACUAGUCUUUCUGAAACUGUUGAAGACAUUAUAGCCAAAGAAAGAGAACAGAAUGCAUUGUGCAUGCAGCACCAGGUGUUGACUGUUUUCUUAUUCUGCUUGCUCUAUACUCAAAAGAAUAAAUAUUGAAUCCUAGAGAUCACCUAUCUAAGCCUUUGUAAUAGAGACUCGAAAAAUGUACCUUCCCAAAUUUAAUUGAUUUCCUUGUCCUUUCUCUACUCCCAGAGGUUGCUUGGUUUUAUGGCACAAUUCAUGUGGUUAACUAAAUUUUUUCCCUUUUUUAAAAUUAUUUUUGUUACCGAGAAAUGUACCCAUGGACUCCCACAUAUCAGAAAAGUGCUAUACCACUGAAUAACACCCAGCUCCCCACAGCCUUUUUUCCUCCUUAUUUUGAGACAGACAUUUACCAACUUGACCAUGGUAGCCUGGAACUUGUGUGAUCCACUUGCCUCAACCUCUUGAGUGACUUGGGUUACAGAUUUGUAUCACCAUGUUUAGCUGCCGUUUUUUUUUUUUUUUUUUUCAUAUCCCUUCAUUUUUUUUUUUUUUUUAAAUUUUGAGACAGGGAGGGUCUCAAUCUGCUGAGCACAAAGUCACUUAGAGUAAAGAGUUUUUUUAAUUAUCCAUAUAUCCUUAAACCAGUUAAAUUAAACAAAACCAACCAUGGAAACUAUGAAAAGUAGUCCACUUAAUGUUCUCUUAAACAUAUUGCAUCUAUGUAGUUAAAGUGGACAAGAGCCUAAGUCCAUGAACUUAAACUUGAUAAUCAAUUUAAUCCAAUGUAAUUAUAGUUAAGAACAUAUAUCUUAAAGUCUGUGUGUUAUAAUAUAUUGAAAAACUAGUCUACACUAAACUGUCAGAGGCAUUGACCACAAACUGUAGAGGCAAUACACUAUGCCAAUCUUAGUAAUUAUAAGGUUGAGUUUGAGGCUCAUGAAAUUGAUAAUUACAAUUUAAUAUAUCUAUAUGCACUUGCCUUUCCUUCAUAAUAUUAUAAAUGAUUAGGGAAAAUUACAUAGUAUUAUUUAUCCUUAUUAUCUUACUGCCAAAUACGUCUGUUAGUUACAUGGAAAAACUUCUAUUCAUGUAAUCAUUUUAAGAAAUGAGAUCAUUAUUCAUUUGGGAAUGUGUAAAUAGACAAAAAACUGACCUUUCAUCAUUUAACUGACAUAUACUAUUAAAUAUGUGUAAAUCUUUAUGCCUUUAUUAUAGUUAGAAUAAAAAAUAGAAGAUAAUUAGAAUAAGCUAAUACAUAGAUACAUAUUACUUACAAGAGUUCAUCAUACAAAAUAAACUUUUGAAAAUGUUGACAUAGAAUUAUUGUAUAUAUUCCUGGGGCACAUUGCCACAUUUUGAUACAUUCUACAAUGUACAGUGAUCAAAUCAGCAUAUCAAUGACAUCAAAUAUUUAUCAUUUCUUUGUUGGAAACAUUCAAAAACCUCUUUUCUAGAUCUUUUGAAACAGAAUAAACUGUUGUUUACCAUAUUCAUUGUUCACUAUAGAAUAUAAUAAUUUCUCUGUCUCAUAAUAAAUUUGAUUGUCC